rnacentral:sRNA from 1 species
AACCUACUGGAAGUGUAUAGGGUCCAGUUGCAUAAAGCCCCGGUUUUCGGGGUUUUUUGUUAUUUAAAACAGAAUUACUGGGCUUUUAGCCCUUUUUUU